rnacentral:rRNA from 1 species
UACGUAGGGGGCAAGCGUUGUCCGGAAUCAUUGGGCGUAAAGAGCGUGUAGGCGGCCCGGUAAGUCCGCUGUGAAAGUCGGGGGCUCAACCCUCGAAUGCCGGUGGAUACUGUCGGGCUAGAGUGCGGAAGAGGCGAGUGGAAUUCCUGGUGUAGCGGUGAAAUGCGCAGAUAUCAGGAGGAACACCAAUUGCGAAGGCAGCUCGCUGGGACGUAACUGACGCUGAGGCGCGAAAGCCCAGGG